rnacentral:rRNA from 1 species
GACGAACGCUGGCGGCGUGCUUAACACAUGCAAGUCGAACGAGUGGCGAACGGGUGCGUAAUACGAGGGUACCCUGCCCUCUUUUUGGCAUAAGCCUUGGAUAGGGAGUCUAGUACCGAAUAAUGGGGGAUGGGCUCGCGUCCUUUGAGCUUGUUGGUGGGGUGAUGGCCUACCAAGGCGGUGACGGUUAGCCGGCCUGAGAGGGUGACCGGCCACAUGAGGACUGCGAGACGGCCCAGACUGCUACCGGAGGCAACAGUUGGGGAUAGUGCGCAAGUGGCGAAAGGCUAAUGCGGGGACGCCGCGUGGGGGUUCGAGGCGUUCGGGUUGGAAAUCUCUUUCGCUAGCGAACGGGUAGGUAGAGAAGAAGCACCGGCUAACUCCGUGCCAGCAGCCGCGGUAAUAC